AUCCAGUUGACGAGUCCCGAAUACGACGAGACACGCGUCCUGGAU
rnacentral:hammerhead_ribozyme from 1 species